UACGAAGGGGGCUAGCGUUGCUCGGAAUCACUGGGCGUAAAGGGCGCGUAGGCGGUGGACACAGUCAGGCGUGAAAUUCCUGGGCUCAACCUGGGGGCUGCGUUUGAUACGUGUUUGCUAGAGUGGGGAAGAGGGUCGUGGAAUUCCCAGUGUAGAGGUGAAAUUCGUAGAUAUUGGGAAGAACACCGGUGGCGAAGGCGGCGACCUGGUCCUUGACUGACGCUGAGGCGCGAAAGCGUGGGGAGCAAACAGG
rnacentral:rRNA from 1 species